CAAGAAAAAAAAUCAAAAAAACCUAGACCUGGACAUUUUGAGAAUGAGCCGUUCUCUUUCACGGACACAAGACCAAAACCCUAGGGGAACCUUCUUCUUUUUAUGAACAUCAACGACAGAACUCGACGACCCCUCUCGGCCGCUAACUCUAAAACGAACUCCAUCAACGACCAUCUUCUCCACGCCACAAGCAGCCAUCCAGCCGUUACCCUCACCAAAAACAACACCCUAAACUUCAUCUUCAAGAACAAACAAGACAAACCCAUCUCCCAGUGGAAAAGGCCCGAUCUCCAAAAGCUUCGGCUGUUCAUGCUUCUUCAUCUUCAACCGUAGAAGCUCCAGGAACUAAAAAGAGAAGGCUUCCAUCUCCGGCGAGACCUCCAUCGCCGCCACCCGCCGCAAACCAGCACCAAAAUCCGUCAAAUCAGCUCUAAAAAACUCAGUUGAAACGCAGCAAACUUCAGCCCCAAAACUCACCAAAAAUCAGUCAAAACGUAGCCGAAGCCUUGUCCGAAAUAGCUCUCGAAUCGCAUCUGAAAUCUGCUGCAACAACGCCCAAAACGCCACCAUAGAUUCGAGUCGAGUUGACGAGCUGUCCGUUUGUAAAUCCGAGGUUCCGUUCGAGGUGCGGUCUGUUGGUCUUGUUCAAAAUCGUUGUUAGCCGCGCAAUCCUAUCUGUGGUAGUUGCUGGAAUUUUUCGACAUUUGAAAACGUAUUGAGGUACACUACUUUGAAUCACCUCGACGUUUGAUUAUUAAAGUUGAAAUAAAAUGGACAGAAUAUUUCUGUAUUUAAUUAUAGAAUAAUUGUAUUUUAGUUAGAUAUUAGUUAUGUGUUUCCAAUUAUAUGAAGGGUAGAGGCAUGUUGUAUUAAGACUAUUUUUGUAAGAUCGUUGAUUAGCAGCUAGAUAGGGCAUAACGUUAGAUUACGGACCUAAGAUCCUUAAAAUGACGUGAAUAUAUGUCAAUACAGUAUGCAUGUUUAAUUUGA